UCUCCUCAUUGGGGGAGAAUUGAGGGUCAUGGCAAGGCCUUAACUAAUAACAGCCUAGGUACAAAACGAUGAAACACUAUGAACAUUUACAAGCUUUGGUCGGCUGUAGGUUUUCUAUGACAUGCACCUGUGAGGUCUGCCUUCUUUCACCAUUUUAGUGUUGACACUUACCCCAGUAAUCCACUAAAGGUCAUGGCUGAUCAUCACAACUAGAGCUCUCCUACCCUUCCGCCAAACCGUUCUCCCUUGAAACCUGAAAAUGAGUGAUCAUACACCUCUCAUAUGCCUGGAAUAUGGAGUGAGUCAACCACGUUUGUCAUUUACAACAGACUGGGAGGUAUUUCCUCCACUCUCUCAUCUCU